GACGUAGGAGGCGAGCGUUAUCCGGAUUCACUGGGCGUAAAGCGCACGUAGGCGGAUUGCUAAGUCAGGGGUGAAAUCCUGGAGCUCAACUCCAGAACUGCCUUUGAUACUGGCGAUCUUGAGUCCGGGAGAGGUGAGUGGAACUGCGAGUGUAGAGGUGAAAUUCGUAGAUAUUCGCAAGAACACCAGUGGCGAAGGCGGCUCACUGGCCCGGUACUGACGCUGAGGUGCGAAAGCGUGGGGAGCAAACAGG
rnacentral:rRNA from 1 species